ACUAAGGUUUUACUCACUACAGUGACCACACUCUUUGUCUAUGCAGCAAAGAAGUUGUUCAAAUCCCUCAAGCCCCAAACCCCUGGAAGAGUCCUGGGAGACAGGAAUUGCUCUAAGUCACCAUUACAGUUCUUCUGUGGCUGUGUUUGACAUCUUCGUCGCCUGCUGGUCAUCUUUACCUGCCUCUGCUUCUCUGACUCUUGAACCUUCCCUGGUAUUGUUCCUGAGCUAUGACUGUGACAUCACCACUCAGUGACAUCACUCAUGUAUCACCAGGGCCUCCAGGCAGGCUGCACUUUUGUGCAGUCAAGGCUUUUCACUGAGACAGCAAGAGCUUUCUCAUCAUGUUUAUAGAUCUCCAGAGAUUCCCCAAAGCAUGGUCCUUCCUCUCUCUGGUUCCUAAAUAACUUCUACUAAGGUGGCUUUUACUAUUUUACUUUUCAGAUUUUUUCCAAGGCCUGUCUCAAGGAACAUGGGAUAUAUUCACCCAGGAAUAGGUCGGCAGAUAUUAACGAGGCACCUUAUAACAUCUAAUUUAAAGCACACUUCCCUUGCAUGACUCCUACCUACAGGUGAAUUCCUUAUAAACUCAGGGAACUCCCUUAAGAUUAGAACGCAGUUUUGUAUGCCUCCUGUUAUGUAUGUUUAACUUUAGAGAUGUGCAGCCUAUUCACCAAUCUCUAACAUCAUCAUCAAUUAAACAGGGCAUGUGACCACCCGUGAACCCAUGCUAGAGUUUUCCAGGUAUGUUCCUGUGAGGUCUUCAGUGAUUCACUGGAAGUACUCACAGAUCUCAGAAAACCUGUCAUGUUACAAUUAUAGUUUAUUAUAUAGCAAGAGGAUUCAGAUUGAAGUCAGCAAUGGAAAAAGGUACAUAGAGCAAACUCCAGCAGAAACCAAGUACAUGCUUCUAGUUCUCUUGCAGUUCAUGCAUGUGACCAGCCUAAUUCUCCCUGUUACAAUGUGAGACGACACGCAGACAGUGUUGCCAACCAGGAAGGCUCACCUGAGCUUUGGUGUCCAGGCGAACUGCCCAUGGGACUGACCUUCGGCCUCCAGUUCCUCCAGAGGUCAAGCUGAUACCACCACCAGGAGAGAGAAUCGGCUUGACUUGAGGAUGCCUCUCAAGGUAAAGUACUUCAUUUUUGGCCAAUACCAAAUAAAAUUAGGAGGUGCUUAAUGAUUUGGUCCAACAGAAAUCAAGAGGAAAAAAGUAAAGCAGCCAGUAAACCUUUCCGGAACAUUUGCUCAAUUGGCGUGAAGAGCUUAUACCCAAGCCUGAGACUGCUAGAAAUAGAUGCCUAAAGGUUUUUUUUUAAUAGGAUACAUGUAAAUUCAUUAGUCUACAAUACUACAGAAUGCUACUCAGUAAAUAUUUCACUGCCUAACCAUUA